rnacentral:lncRNA from 1 species
CUGAGAAUUGGUAGCGAUGCCGCCAGCCCUUUUCGCGAUUUGUGAAAGCUAUCGUUGUUCUGCUUUCGCAGGAGUUCCUGUAACUAUGCUUAACCACCUUUAUUUAUAGCUUUUCAACUAUUUUUGAAAAUAACAAGCUGUUACAAUGAGGUGAUGUGGCAUUAUACGCCUUCCCUGUAUUUGUACCGCGUUGUGUGCGCAUGCGUCCAAGGUUGCCUGCGCCUAUGUCAUGGGUGGCUUAUCCCGGCGUCUUUGCUCUCUCGAUGCACGAGCCAAGCCAAGUCAUCGAAAACGUCACUACGCAUAUGCGUGGCCGCGCCGAGUAGCAGCACGCGUCAUUUCUGAGACGAGGUGUAGGUAGCAAAACUAUGCCGCUCCAAUAUCUUAGCGACCUGGAAACUGCGUGCACGAUGAUUGCAAAA